CUGUCCUGGUACAAAGGAAACAGUUUAUUGUCCAUCAUCAGUGUGUCUGAUCUCAACAUCAGACUCUCUCUAUCUCUGGAGGUUGAAUAUCAGGAUACAAACACAUACAGAUGUGUACUCAACAAUACCAUCACAAACCAAACUCAACAUCUCAACAUCAAUCAUCUCUGUCAGACGUGUUCAGAUACAACAGGUCUCACCUUCAUUCAUAAAGUUGUGAUCUGUUGUGUUGUUGUUGGAUGUCUGAUGAUUGUCGCUUCAGUUCUGAUCUUCUGCAUCUACAGGAAACACAGAAACACACAUCAACAGGUUCAGAGCGGUGAAGAGGAAAUCACUUACGCAGAAACAACUUUCCAUCAAAGACAAACACAUAAACCAGUAAGAUCAAUCUUUAUUGUUUAUAUC